ACAAUAACAAAAAAAAUCUUCAACGAAAUUAAACAUCAGAAUUGUAAAAAUCGUUAAUGAUUUGAAAAAUCCUUAUUAGAGCAGAACUUUUAUCCUUACAGUUCUGAAUAAACAACUUGAAAAAUCAUGCCAAGCGUCCAUGGCUCUCUACUGGAUACAAAUAAUCUCUAAUCGUUACAAUGCACGAGGUUACAAAAACUCAAUUAGAAAGACGAUUUCUGCAUUUUGAUGAUUACGCGAGCACUAGCAAUAACAGUGACAAUAAUGUGGAAUGAUCUUUUGUUUGGCGAGAAAUCGAUGAGCAGCGUUUGAAAAUCGAAUUUUAACCGGUGUGGUAAUUAAUGCUCUAUAUCGAGCUGCGAUGAUUUUUAGAAGACAUUAGCAGUGUAGUGCUCGAGCGAAACACAAUAGAAAGACACAACUGUAUAAAAGUGAACACGAUAUUUAAUGGCGAAUUUGCGACGGAUGAUAAACGUGCCAAUAAAAGUAAUACUAAAAACUAUGAACUUUUUCAAACAUCGAAUUUGCGUGAGUGGUACGAGCGGCACGAAUCCACGUUGGCAUCUUGAGGAAGGAGUUGUCGAGAACGUGACAGUGUGUUGUCGCGAAUCAUGAAUCUUACAAUAAACAUCAAUAAAUAUAAUCCAAUGCGCGUGGGAUGUCUUCGAAGUGCCGCGAGAGAUAAUGACAAAGAGAGCGGUGAUUAACGUGCGAUCGAUGGACAAUGCAUGUCUCGCGUGGUCAGUGGUCGCCGCUCUGUAUCCAUCCGAAAGGAACGCAGAUCAUGAAUCUUCCUACCCACACUACGAUGAUGCUGAAUUUGCAAAAUUUAGAAUUUCGUAUAAUGUUAAAAGACGUAACGAAAUUCGAAGGUCUCAACGAUGUGUCCAUUAAUGUAUACGGUAUUGAGGGACAAAAAACUAAAUGUUCUCCCGAUACGUCUUGUUGAUGACAGAAAGAGAAACAUGUAUUUACUAUAUUUGCAAGAUAUAUCUGCGAGACGACUAUGUACGUCAUUUCAUACGAAUCAAGAAUCUGUCCCAACUCAUGAGCUUGCAAUUGAGUAAACAUCAUGAGCAAAAGUUUGCGAUCGAAAUUGCAGUCAUACAUGAUAGAUUACCGAUAAUGGAUAAACGACUGCGCUAUCCGACUAUCGAGCGACGACAAGUGAGUUUUAACAACUAUAAUAGGAAGGAACAAGUUCCAUUUGUCAUUUACGUUGAUCUAAAAUCCUUGAGAAAAUUGAUAGCGAUCAGGAAGCAUCUGUGCGCAUUAUAUCAACAUCGUCAAGUAUUUAGCAUAGGUUAUUACGUGCGCUGUUCUUACGACGAUUCGUUAUCAAAAUAUUGAUUUUGUUAUGAUUGCAUUUUAUGGUUCAUCAAAAAAACUGAGAAGUUUAGCACAUCGCGUAAAAAAAAUUUUAGCAGCUAAUAUCCCCAUGGAAACUUUCAAGUGAACAGUGGGAGACAUUGCGCAGCGCGACGCAUUGUCACGUGUGUGAAAAGAUUUUCGCGCUAGACGAUAAUCGAGUAAGCGAUCAUUGCUAUUUAACCGGUCGUUAUA